CCUACGGGUGGCUGCAGUAGGGAAUAUUGGGCAAUGGAGGCAACUCUGACCCAGCCAUGCCGCGUGCAGGAAGACGGCCCUCUGGGUUGUAAACUGCUUUUGAAUGGGAAGAAUGUGAUGUUUGCGAGCAUUAAUGACGGUACCAUUAGAAUAAGCCACGGCUAACUACGUGCCAGCAGCCGCGGUAAUACGUAGGUGGCGAGCGUUAUCCGGAUUUAUUGGGUUUAAAGGGUGCGUAGGCGGCUUAAUAAGUCGGUGGUAAAAGGUAGCAGCUU
rnacentral:rRNA from 1 species